rnacentral:lncRNA from 1 species
UGAAGAAGAAGAUUUGUACAAGCGUCAGGCUCAAGAGGUGCAUCAACGGAUUCAUUUUCUGGAGGACUCUCGCCUUUGAAUCGUCGGCAUGAUAGACCGCCUCAAACGCCGAAGAGCAGAACUUGCCAAGGAGAUGGAGCAAGUGACCAAGGAAAUAGCCGCCGAAGAGAAGAGGCUUCAGGAACUCCCUUCCGUCAUCGCCGAUUUAAAGCGGGAGAGGCAGCAUCUGGCUCACGAAGCCCUUAGACUCCACCGCCACAUGUCAGAAGUCCCGGGGUCGGCAGAGGAUGACCAACGGGUCCUGGACUCGGCCGAUCAGAUCCGGCGUCGAGCGAUUGCGGCCAUCAACGCCCUUCUGGGCGAUCUGUAAAAGUACUGGUAGUUUUGUACGAACAUUAAUGCCUCCUUUGACCGUCCUUCACGGCGCUCUCUUAUUUAUUGCCUUUUUUACUUCUAAUCGGACGCGUCUUACAAAACAUCCACGCUUUCUCCACUUAUAAAUACAGGCCUUGGUUUCGCUUUUGAGAGCACCCGUUUAACUCGAUUCUCUCUUCCCCUGACUUGUUUCCAUCGACGCGUUCUGCAGUCAUGUCUUCUUCGUCCUCUUCUUUUUCCUCUGUUAACAAGGUAAGAGAUCUGCCUCC